rnacentral:lncRNA from 1 species
GCGUUUCGUCGCUGUUGCAUCUGGACCCAGGCGCUAGAAUGUCCUUCCCUAAGGCGCCCCUGAAAAGAUUCAAUGACCCUUCGGGUGCGUAUUUCCCAGAGUCUCAACAAAAUCUUAACAUUGACAAAGAUACGACCUUGCUUGCUUCUGCUAAAAAAGCAAAGACGUUGGUGUCAAAGAAGGAGUCUCAGAAGAAUGAUAAAGAUGUGAAGAGAUUAG